rnacentral:lncRNA from 1 species
GGGACCCGUGCUGGAGCAGUUUGCUCCUGGGGGAUGGACCCCGUGGUACGGAGCCGUGUGGGAGCAGUUCUUGAAGAGCUGCUGCCUGUGGGCAGCCCCCACAGGAUCAGUUCCGGAAGGACGGCAUCCCGUGGGAGGGACCCCACGUGGAGCAGGGACAGAGAGUGACUGUGAAGUAGCAGUAGAGAUGAAGUGUUAGGGACUGACCACAGUCCCCAUUGCCCAUUCCUGUGAGCCGCUCAGGGUGUGGGGGGUGGAGGGAGGAGGUUUUAGAGGAGGGUGGAUGCAGAGAAGGUGUUUUUAGUUGUUUUGUUGUUGUUUUUGUUUGUUUGUUAGUUUUGCUUUAGUUUGGUUUUAGUUUCUCACUGCUCUAGCUUGUUAGUAAUAUGUAAAAAAUGUCAUUCAUCUCCCUAUGCUGAGUCUGUUUUGCCCAUGAUGAUAACUGUUGAGUGAUCUCCCUGUCCUUAUCUCAACCCUUGAGCCCUUUUCAUUGUAUUUUCUCCCCCUUUCCUUUGAGCAGGGGGAGUGAGAGAGCAGUUGUGGUGCAGCUCAUCUUCUCAGCUUUGUAAAACCACCACACUGUCUCUCAGAGAGGGGUCCAACUAUUAGCAUCUGUGCCCACCAGCCAGGUCCUAGUCUCCUGGCUAAUCCAUGGAAGUGCUGUUGGUGGUUGCAUGCAGUUGGUACACCUGCAGGUUUAGCUCCCUUUUCUAUAACGGGGCUUUUAAUUAUUUUUAUCCUUCUCCUCAAUGAAGACCAGACAUACAUUAUACUGACUAGCUUCAAUAAUAUUUAUCAUCUCCAGCAGGUCUGGAUAUGUGCCUCUGGCUUUUCCAUCUAUCCAGAGAAAACCAUGCAUUUGUGAUAUCACAUUUGGUUCUGAAGAAUGACAAGAAGCCCUUCAGACCUCAUGCCAGUGUUUCAGCUGACAGCGAAAUAACAUGAGACUGUAUUUUUUAUUUGCUGUCAAACUUCAUAAUAUCACACAGGGAAGAGAAUAAGAAAAAAAAAAAAAAAAGGAGGGUACAUCUAAGAUUUCCCAGAGACAGAAUUAUGUUAACAUACUAAAAUGGUUGUAUGCAAAGUAGAAACCAGCUUAACUCAAGGUAAGUUGCAACAGUUUAGGCACACACACAUAAAACGUGAAACAAUACCAAAAUAAAUGUCAAUUUGCAAUAGAUCGUACUGAUGCU